AGUGAACGCUGGCGGUAGGCCUAACACAUGCAAGUCGAACGGCAGCACAGUAAGAGCUUGCUCUUACGGGUGGCGAGUGGCGGACGGGUGAGGAAUACAUCGGAAUCUACUUUUUCGUGGGGGAUAACGUAGGGAAACUUACGCUAAUACCGCAUACGACCUACGGGUGAAAGCAGGGGAUCUUCGGGCCUUGCGCGAUUGAAUGAGCCGAUGUCGGAUUAGCUAGUUGGCGGGGUAAAGGCCCGCCAAGGCGACGAUCCGUAGCUGGUCUGAGAGGAUGAUCAGCCACACUGGAACUGAGACACGGUCCAGACUCCUACGGGAGGCAGCAGUGGGGAAUAUUGGACAAUGGGCGCAAGCCUGAUCCAGCCAUACCGCGUGGGUGAAGAAGGCCUUCGGGUUGUAAAGCCCUUUUGUUGGGAAAGAAAAGCAGCAGGUUAAUACCCCGCUGUUCUGACGGUACCCAAAGAAUAAGCACCGGCUAACUUCGUG
rnacentral:rRNA from 1 species